rnacentral:rRNA from 1 species
UACGUAGGGGGCAAGCGUUGUCCGGAAUUAUUGGGCGUAAAGAGCUCGUAGGCGGUUUGUCGCGUCUGCUGUGAAAUCUGGGGGCUCAACCCCCAGCCUGCAGUGGGUACUGGCAGACUAGAGUGCGGUAGGGGAGAUUGGAAUUCCUGGUGUAGCGGUGGAAUGCGCAGAUAUCAGGAAGAACACCCGUGGCUAAGGCGGCUCUCUAGUACGGUACUGACGCUGAGACGCGAAAGCGUGGGGAGCGAACAGG